UUAACUAUUUUUGCACUACCAUCUUUGCUUUUCUCACGCUUGUUGAUCUCCAUUGCAAAUCUUGAAAUUCCACUCUUCUUCGUGCUGCUACCUCUCUCAGCUCCACUCAUCAACAAUGGCAAUCAUAACCGAAGAACCAGACUCCCCAAGUCCACUGAAACAACGAAAAACCCUUAAACCCACAUCAAAACCUUCUCAAUCAACCGCCCCAGAACCCAUUAAACCCACCAAAACUACAAAUGCGACAAACCCAUUUCAUUUCUGGUUCUAUUUCACCAUUUCAGUUUCUCUUGUGACCCUCAUAUUCAUGAUUCUCACUUCUCUUUACACGCAAGACCCUAAAACAUGGUUUCUUAGCUUGCCCCUAAAUCUACGACAACACUAUGCUAAAGGGCGAAAUAUCAAAGUUCAAACAGCUCCUAACCAGCCACAAAUUGAAGUUUUUGCUAUCCAAGAAGGACCAUCAAAGUCUUCUGAUCAGGUACUUAUUGUACAUGGACUAGGAUGUAGCUCUUUUGCGUUUCAAAAAGUUGUCAACUUUUUGGGUGUUAGAGGUG
rnacentral:misc_RNA from 1 species